GCAUUGUGGAAAAUCCUGCGACGGCCACAUUCCAAGUGACCUCAUUGAACUUCAAACCUUGCUCUUGCAUCAUGACGCGAAUCUUGUCGACGGCGUUGGGGUGUCGAUUGCGGACAAACGCGGUAAGGAGAAUGGUCCACGUCUGAACGGUCGGUUUAACUUGCUUGAUUUGGCGGUUGCUUUGAGAUCGCAGAAUUGCAGUGGGAGGAAGUGGUUGUAGCAUCGUAUCCAGUACCCUGACGCAGUUUUUUAGCCGACCCGAACGCCGCUGCGCAAACUCCUGGAGAAACACGUUAAAUAUAUAGUCACUUUCCGCCAGCGGUCCGAAAGACUCAUGCCCUUGGUCGCGAAGGUAUAGAAAACGAUCGAACAUGUUAUUGAUUUGACGAACGCUCUGAAUCCUCAGAAACGCAGAAAUCAUGAUAACAAGAGAAUGGCUG
rnacentral:sRNA from 1 species